rnacentral:rRNA from 1 species
UACGAAGGGGGCUAGCGUUGCUCGGAAUCACUGGGCGUAAAGCGCACGUAGGCGGAUUGUUAAGUCAGGGGUGAAAUCCUGGAGCUCAACUCCAGAACUGCCUUUGAUACUGGCGAUCUUGAGUCCGGGAGAGGUGAGUGGAACUGCGAGUGUAGAGGUGAAAUUCGUAGAUAUUCGCGAGAACACCAGUGGCGAAGGCGGCUCACUGGCCCGGUACUGACGCUGAGGUGCGAAAGCGUGGGGAGCAAACAGG